rnacentral:rRNA from 1 species
AGUAUUCUAAGGCGCUUGAGAGAACUCGGGAGAAGGAACUCGGCAAAUUGGUACCGUAACUUCGGGAUAAGGUACGCCCUGGUAGCUUGACUGGCCUGCGCCAGAAGGGUGAAGGGGUUGCAAUAAAAUGGUGGCUGCGACUGUUUAAUAAAAACACAGCACUCUGCAACACGAAGUGGACGUAUAGGGUGUGACGCCUGCCCGGUGCCGGAAGAUUAA